UGCGGGAUCGCCCUGCGCAUCCGUUGGACCCCGGCGGCCAGGACUCUGCCCGUGCCUCCCGCAGGCGCCAGCCGUGUCCGCGCCACCCUCGGCCGCGGGGCCGCCUCUCCCCCCGCCUCUGCGGUCCCGGCCGGGCACUCCGGAAAGUUGCUAGGGCAGUGGAGGCGGGAGGGGAGGCAGGGAGGAGAGAGGCGGAGGCGUGGACCAGGCGGGCAGCAGCCGAGCCCGCCGGGGAGAGAUCCUCCGACUGUGAAAAACCAAACCUCUUGCUGCCUGGCUCCCUAGGAAUCAAGAGGAGGCACAGACUGAAAAUCAGGGAGAAAAGGAACAAGAUCAAGGAUGAGGAUUACCAUCUGCAAAUUGAACCCUAUCUAAUUUGCAUGUUUAUUUCUUAGAAUUAAAUUCAGGGCCCAGCUGUUGACAACACGAACUAAUGUCUACAGGCAGAGGAGGCGGUCAAAUGUCCGUGGAACGAGAAACAUCAUUUAAAAAUUUAAACAUUCCAGGACCUGAAGACACUCCCAAGAUCCCCAAGCACCCAAAUUGUUUCAUGCUGUCCUGCCUUCAUUGAAAGUCCCCAGUACCAUGUUUUCACCCAGGAAAUCUAUUUCAUGUCGUGAGGUUCUGGAAGGAAGUGGGGGUAAAUAUAUGUGCUUAAUCUGUCAUGUUUGAUCAGAAGUCUAUUUUGCUUCUUAAAGCUUCAUUCUAGGACUUCCCUGGUGGCGCAGUGGUUAAAAAUCCGCCUGCCAAUGCAGGGGACAUGGGUUUGAGCCCCGGUCCGAGAAGAUCCUUCAUGCCACGGAGCAACUAAGCCCGUGCACCGCAACUACUGAGCCUGCACUCUAGAGCCUGUGAGCCACAACUACUGAAGCCCACAUGC